rnacentral:miRNA from 10 species
UAGUAUCAGGUUGGUGCAAAAGUAACUGUGGUUUUGCAGCUAAAAGUAAUUGCAAAAACCACAAUUACUUUUGCAGAAACCUGAUA